rnacentral:rRNA from 1 species
AGAGUUUGAUCAUGGCUCAGAACGAACGCUGGCGGCGUGGAUUAGGCAUGCAAGUCGAGCGUGAUUUUCGUUUUCGGACGGAAUGAAAGCGGCGAACGGGUGAGGAAUACUUGGGUAAUUUGCCCUAAAGUCUGGAAUAGCUUCGGGAAACUGGAGGUAAUGCCGGAUGUGAUCGUACCACAUAAGUGGUAUUGUCUAAAGAGGGGGAUCUUCGGACCUCUCGCUUAAGGAUAGGCCCGAGUCCUAUCAGCUAGUUGGUGAGGUAAUGGCUCACCAAGGCUAAGACGGGUAGCUGGUCUGAGAGGAUGGUCAGCCACACUGGGACUGAGACACUGCCCAGACUCCUACGGGAGGCUGCAGUCGAGAAUCAUUCACAAUGCACGAAAGUGUGAUGAUGCGACGCCGCGUGAAGGAUGAAGGCCCUAGGGUCGUAAACUUCUGUCAGAAGGAAAGAACGGUCAUUGAGUUAAUAGCUCUUUGAUUUGACGGUACCUUCAGAGGAAGCAACGGCUAACUCUGUGCCAGCAGCCGCGGUAAUACAGAGGUUGCAAGCGUUGUUCGGAUUUACUGGGCGUAAAGGGUGCGUAGGCGGACUUGUAUGUCAGAUGUGAAAUCCCAUGGCCCAACCAUGGAACUGCAUUUGAAACUGCAAGACUAGAGUAUCGGAGAGGUAGAUGGAAUUCUUAGUGUAGCGGUGAAAUGCGUAGAUAUUAAGAAGAACACCAGCGGCGAAAGCGAUCUACUGGACGAAUACUGACGCUGAGGCACGAAAGCCAGGGGAGCGAAGAGGAUUAGAUACCCUCGUAGUCCUGGCCAUAAACGGUGUACACUUGGUGUGGGAGGCUUUAACCCCUUCCGUGCCGGAGCAAACGUGUUAAGUGACCGCAUGGAGAUCGGAGAGCAUGUGGCUUAAUUCGAUGCAACGCGAAGAACUUUACCUGGACUUGACAUGCCCUUCAUACGUGAGUGAAAGCUCGGGGUCAUUUAGUUGGAAGGUGCACAGGUGCUGCAUGGCUGUCGUCAGCUCGUGCCGUGAGGUGUUGGGUUAAGUCCCGCAACGAGCGCAACCCUUGUCUUUAGUUGCCAUCGCGAUCCGCAGGGAACUCUAAAGAGACUGCCCCGGUAACGGGGAGGAAGGUGGGGAUGACGUCAAGUCAGUAUGGUCCUUAUGUUCAGGGCUGCACACGUGCUACAAUGGAACGUACAAUGGGAAGCGAACCCGCGAGGGGGAGCCAAUCCUCAAAACGUUCCUCAGUUCGGAUUGGAGUCUGCAACUCGACUCCAUGAAGCUGGAAUCGCUAGUAAAGGGACAUCAGCUACGGUCCCUUGAAUACGUUCCCGGGCCUUGUACACACCGCCCGUCACAUCAUGGAAGCUGUCUGCUCCCGAAGUCACUGUUUCAACCCGUAAGGGAGAUAGGUGCCGAAGGAGUGGGUAGUGACUGGGAUGAAGUCGUAACAAGGUAACC